CAGUACCACAUGCCACCUGCCAGAGCCAGAGAGAUCUGAGAACUUCCGUGCAACUGUGACAGCGGCUUAGUCCAACCGUUUGUACCGAAGCCGACUCCGGUCAGAAGAGCUUCUUUUUGCAAUGGGCAUUGGUUAAUGCAGAGACCCCCCUAAAACUGGUCAAAUUCAGGGGACACAAAGGAAGGGGGAGCAGAAAGAAUGUGAGGACCAGAAGAUGGGGAGGGAGGGCACUGUGUUAUGCUGUCUUCUAGCCCUGAUAUGUGGGUGCUCACGGACCCACAGUAGUUGUGCUUGCCUGCACAAGUUCAAGUCAGUCAGCUGUCCAGCGUUAGGAGGGAAGGGCCCCGCAGGCACUCACCCCUAGGUGAGGAGCUAUUGGCAGUUCAUGCCUACUAAGAGAAGGAGAGCCAUUUCUCUUUGGUGCUUGGCCUUGGUGGCUUGUCUGUGAGCCCUUUAUCCACGUGCAUAUGAGCAGCACGGAUUGGGGUCAGUGGACAUUUUUUUUUAAGCGGGGGACAGGAUGUACGGGGGCAUGUCCUGGGGGAUGUGGAAUUGAGGCAUGAAUACGAUCAAAUACAUAAUAUCCACGUUUGAAAUCUCAGAGAAUAAGCAAAAGGCAUCAUAUGACGAUAUAUCCGC
rnacentral:lncRNA from 1 species